AAAGCGCCCUUUACUAAAAUCAAUGUAGUUGUAUGCAAACCUAGAGCAAUAGCAUGAUGAACCAAGAAAUCCCCAGGUCCUAUUGUUAAGAAAAGCGAAUUACUAUUCUCAUUAACAGCAUUCAACCAUCCGGGCAACCAUAGGCUUCGACCCGCAUUGAAAGCGGGGCCAUUCGUUGAAGAUAAGAGUAUAUCGAACCCAUAUGUCGUCUUGCCAUGAGCAGAUUGUAUCCAUUGGGCAAAUAUAGGUUCGAUCAAGAUUUGCUUUUCUGGAGUACCAAAAGCAAGCAUGACGUCGUUAUGAACAUAAAGGCCCAAGGUAUGGAAUCCUAGAAAGAGGCUAGCCCAACUUAAAUGAGAUAUGAUAGCUUCUUUAUGGUCUAACAUUCUUGCCAAUACAUUAUCCUCAUUCUGUUCCGGAUUGUAAUCCCUAAUGAAAAAAAUAGCUCCAUGAGCAAAAGCCCCUGUCAUGAUGAACCCUGCAAUAUAUUGGUGAUGAGUAUAUAAAGCAGCUUGAGUAGUAAAGUCUUGUGCUAUGAAUGCAUAAGGAGGUAAAGAGUACAUAUGUUGAGCUACUAAGGAAGUAAUAACCCCUAAAGAAGCUAGAGCAAGACCUAACUGAAAAUGAAUCGAAUUGUUGAUUGUGUCAUAAAGGCCCUUAUGCCCACGCCCUAAUCGACCCCCCGGAGGAGUAUGCGCUUCUAAAAAAUCUUUAAUACUGUGCCCAAUUCCGAAGUUAGUUCGAUACAUGUGACCGGCAAUGAGAAAAAUAAAUGCAAUAGCUAAAUGAUGGUGAGCCAUAUCGGUCAGCCACAAACUUUGUGUUUGUGGAUGGAAUCCGCAAAGAAGAGUUAGAAUGGCAGUUCCGGCUCCUUGAGCGGUACCAAAUAAAUGAUUACUCGAAUCAGGGUUUUGGGCAUAAAGAUUCCAUUGACCCGUCAAAAGGGGUCCCAACCCCUGGGGAUAGGGUAAUACAUCUAAGAAAUUAUUCCAUCGAACGUACUCCCCCCUGGAUGCGGGAAUAGCAACAUGAACUAAAUGUCCUGUCCAAGCCAAAGAACUUACCCCGAAAAGUCCUGACAAAUGAUGAUUGAGACGAGAUUCCGCGUUUUUGAACCACGAAAGGCUUGGUUUCCAUUUGGGUUGUAGAUGUAACCAACCCGUUAUUAAGGACAGCAUAGAAAGAAAUAAUAGAAAAAGAGCUCCAGUAUAAAGAUCCUCAUUGGUGCGUAAUCCUAUUGUAUACCACCACUGAUAAACUCCAGAAUAAGCAAUAUUCACUGGACCAGCAGCACCUCCUCGAGUAAAGGCUUCCACAGCGGGUUGACCAAAAU
rnacentral:rRNA from 1 species